rnacentral:rRNA from 1 species
GACGAACGCUGGCGGCGUGCUUAACACAUGCAAGUCGAGCGGUAAGGCCUCUUCGGGGGUCCACGAGCGGCGAACGGGCGGGUAACACGUGGGUGACCUGCCCUCAGCUCUGGGAUAAGCCUGGGCAACUGGGUCUAAUACCGGAUAUGAACUUUCCUCGCAUGGGGUUUGGUGGAAAGUUUUUUCGGCUGGGGAUGGGCCCGCGGCCUAUCAGUUGGUUGGUGGGGGGAUGGCCAACCAAGGCGACGACGGGUAGCCUGCCGGAGAGGGCGACCGGCCAGGGUGGGAGUGAGGGACGGCCCAGAUUCCGGCGGGAGGCAGCAGGGAGGAAGAUUGCGGGAUGGGCGGAAGCCUGACGAAGCGAGGCUGCGGGGGGGAGGCCGGCGGGCGGGUUGUAAACCUCUUUCGUGCCGGACGAAGUUGGACGGUAGGGGGAGAAGAAGCACCGGCUAACUACGUG